rnacentral:rRNA from 1 species
GAAUUUUGGACAAUGGGCGAAAGCCUGAUCCAGCAAUGCCGCGUGCAGGAUGAAGGCCUUCGGGUUGUAAACUGCUUUUGUACGGACAGACAAGCUUUGGGUUAAUACCCUGGAGUCAUGACGGUACCGUAAGGAUAAGCAACGGCUCACUACCUGACAGCGGCCGCGGUAAUACGUAGGGUGCAAGCGUUAAUCGGAAUUACUGGGCGUAAAGCGUGCGCAGGCGGUUUGGUAAGACAGAGGUGAAAUCCCCGGGCUCAACCUGGGAACUGCCGUUGUGACUGCAAGGCUAGAGUACGGCAGAGGGGGGUGGAAUUCCGCGUGUAGCAGUGAAAUGCGUAGAUAUGCGGAGGAACACCGAUGGCGAAGGCAACCCCCUGGGCCUGUACUGACGCUCAUGCACGAAAGCGUGGGGAGCAAACA